UUAACUUGAAAUUGCUGGCCUUUUCAUUGGAUGUUUUUUUUCCAAAGAGAGGUUUCUCUGCGUGCUUGAGGUAUAAUGCAAGUACGGUCGUUUUAGGUUUUACCAACUGCGGCUAAUCUUUUUUGUACUGAGCGUAUUGGAACGUUAUCGAUAAGAAGAGAGCGUCUAGGCGAACAAUGUUCUUAAAGUUUGACCUCAAAUCAGGUAGGAGUACCCGCUGAACUUAAGCAUAUCAAUAAGCGGAGGAAAAGAAACCAACCGGGAUUGCCUUAGUAACGGCGAGUGAAGCGGCAAAAGCUCAAAUUUGAAAUCUGGUACCUUCGGUGCCCGAGUUGUAAUUUGGAGAGGGCAACUUUGGGGCCGUUCCUUGUCUAUGUUCCUUGGAACAGGACGUCAUAGAGGGUGAGAAUCCCGUGUGGCGAGGAGUGCGGUUCUAUGUAAAGUGCCUUCGAAGAGUCGAGUUGUUUGGGAAUGCAGCUCUAAGUGGGUGGUAAAUUCCAUCUAAAGCUAAAUAUUGGCGAGAGACCGAUAGCGAACAAGUACAGUGAUGGAAAGAUGAAAAGAACUUUGAAAAGAGAGUGAAAAAGUACGUGAAAUUGUUGAAAGGGAAGGGCAUUUGAUCAGACAUGGUGUUUUGUGCCCUCUGCUCCUUGUGGGUAGGGGAAUCUCGCAUUUCACUGGGCCAGCAUCAGUUUUGGUGGCAGGAUAAAUCCGUAGGAAUGUAACUUGCUUCGGGAAGUAUUAUAGCCUGCGGGAAUACUGCCAGCUGGGACUGAGGACUGCGACGUAAGUCAAGGAUGCUGGCAUAAUGGUUAUAUGCCGCCCGUCUUGAAACACGGACCAAGGAGUCUAACGUCUAUGCGAGUGUUUGGGUGUAAAACCCAUACGCGUAAUGAAAGUGAACGUAGGUUGGGGCCUCGCAAGAGGUGCACAAUCGACCGAUCCUGAUGUCUUCGGAUGGAUUUGAGUAAGAGCAUAGCUGUUGGGACC
rnacentral:rRNA from 1 species